CAGGAAAAAGAGCUCCAGUCAAUAAUUGAUGGAGAUUAAUCCUACCUGAGACAAAGCUUUGCAGAAAACCAAUGCAUCCGACUGGAAGCGCCGAGCUCAGGGUGCGACAAAGGAGUGAGGACUGUGAGCGCGGCCGCGGCGCCCGGGUCUCGGGCGUGGCUCCGGCCUCCUGCACCCCUGUCCAGCACCCCUACCUCUUCCUCCAUCCUCCAUCAACUUCCCUUUCUCUGGCUACUUCCACCCCGCUCGCCUGUGCACGCCCGCGCCCCAGCCCGGCGGGCGAGAUCAGCUCCGCAGCGCGCUGCCCGCCCAGAGGGGGCGUCUGGCACCGCUUGGCACCCGGGUGCGCCCCGGCCCCGCCGAGUCUCCGACUUCGCCAUUGUUCCGAGAGCCCGAGUGGGUGUGGAACCCGGCCCUGGAGUCCUGCUCGACCACAAAGUCUGGUCUUUAGUAUUACGAAACUGAAUUUUCCCGGGGUCUGACAGGCGUGGACGCAAAUCUCUUGGUCUCCGGAGAAUCGGAAGGAAAACGCUUUGGAUUCGCGUUCGCUUGUUGGAGACACCGCCUCUGCUGAGAACUUGGAAAGGAAGGUUGGUGGCGGUGAGGAAGGAAGAGGAUGAUCUAGAGAUGGACGGUUCCAGAGGCAUCCGGUAGGUUCUUCCAGGACAUCCAUGAGUCAGCCACCGGCCGGGGGCGCAGCUCCCGAGGCUCGCCUGCACCCGGAGGGCAGCAGCCGGAAGCAGCCGCGAGCGCAGUCACCCGCCAGACCCAGAGACAAUUCUCUCCGGCAGACGGCCGCGGCCACCAGGUCCCCCGUGGGGGCCAGUACCAAACUCAACUCGGCCCGGCCGCAGCCACCACCGCCGCAGCCGGGGAGCAAGACCAGCAGCCGCGGGGCGCCCACCGCCGGGGCCCGGGGAGGGGGCGGGGCGGAGAGGGCGGCGCCCCCGGCGCCCAAAGGCGCUGUCCAGCCCGCGCCAGGUGCUGAAGCUGCGCCCUGCGCACCCCCGGCCCCCGGGGGCCCUAGGAGGUCCGCGCCGCCGCCGGAGGAGCCUGCGCGGGAGCUAGAGCCAGCGCCCCCGAAAGUCGGGGAGGCCCUUCCGCCCGCGGAAGGAGGUGGCGGGGACCGUGAAGGAGGAGGAGCCGGCGGCGGCCCCGGGGAGCGCGAGGGGGGCGCAGCGCAGGCGGCGCCGCCCAGGGGCUGGCGAGGGCGAGGCGGGCGCUCGGCGCCGAGGGGCGGCGUUGGCGGCGGGGAGGGGGCGUCCGCGUCCGUGUCGUCGCCUCCGGGCUCUGCGAGCGGCCGAGCCCCGGGCCCGGGCAGCGGCAGGAGUUCCGGAAGCGGCGUGGCGGGGGGCGGCGGCGCGGGCUUCUGGAAGGAAGGAUGUCUGCAGUCUGAGCUCAUCCAGUUCCACCUGAAGAAGGAGCGAGCGGCGGCCGCCGCGGCUCAGAUGCACACGAAGAACGGCGGCGGCGGAGGCAGCCGGGGGUCCCCGGUGGCCGCCGGCGCCCCAGGCCUGUGCGAGCCCCUCGCGGGCUCCGCCGCGUCCCCCAUGGCGGCGGCGACCGAGGGCCCCCAGCCGGGCGCGGAGGCCAGCGCGGGCGCAGGGGGCCUGCAGCCGGCAGCGCCGCCCGCCUCGCAGUCGCAGCGGCUCCAGGAGCAGGAGGAGAUGCAGGAGGAGAUGGAGAAGCUGCGGGAGGAAAACGAGACGCUCAAGAACGAGAUUGAUGAGCUGAGAACCGAGAUGGACGAGAUGAGGGACACUUUCUUCGAGGAGGACGCUUGUCAGCUGCAGGAAAUGCGCCACGAGUUGGAGCGGGCCAACAAGAACUGCCGGAUCCUGCAGUACCGCCUCCGCAAGGCCGAGCGCAAGCGGCUGCGAUACGCGCAGACCGGAGAAAUCGACGGGGAGCUGCUGCGCAGCCUGGAGCAGGACCUCAAGGUUGCUAAGGAUGUGUCUGUGAGACUUCACCAUGAAUUGGAAAAUGUGGAAGAAAAGAGAACCACCACAGAGGAUGAAAAUGAGAAACUGAGGCAACAGCUGAUAGAAGUUGAAAUUGCAAAGCAAGCAUUACAGAAUGAACUGGAAAAAAUGAAAGAGCUGUCAUUAAAAAGAAGAGGAAGCAAAGAUUUGCCAAAAUCAGAAAAAAAGGCUCAACAGACUCCCACAGAGGAGGACAACGAAGAUCUGAAAUGCCAGCUGCAGUUUGUCAAGGAAGAAGCCGCUCUGAUGAGGAAGAAGAUGGCCAAGAUUGACAAAGAGAAGGACCGAUUUGAACACGAGCUGCAGAAGUACAGAUCCUUCUACGGGGAUCUGGACAGCCCGCUGCCCAAGGGGGAAGCCGGGGGCCCUCCCAGCACCAGGGAGGCCGAGCUCAAGCUGCGGCUGCGGCUGGUGGAAGAGGAAGCCAACAUCCUGGGCCGGAAGAUUGUGGAGCUGGAGGUGGAGAACCGCGGGCUGAAGGCGGAGCUCGACGACCUGCGGGGAGAUGACUUCAGCAACGGCGCCGCCAACCCGCUGAUGCGCGAGCAGAGCGAGUCCCUGUCGGAGCUGCGGCAGCACCUGCAGCUGGUGGAGGACGAGACGGAGCUGCUGCGCAGGAACGUGGCCGACCUGGAGGAGCAGAACAAGCGCAUCACGGCGGAGCUCAACAAGUACAAGUACAAGUCGUCGGCGGCCGGGGGCCACGACAGCAGCGCGCGGCACCACGACAGCGCCAAGAGCGAGGCGCUGCAGGAGGAGCUCAAGGCGGCGCGCCUGCAGAUCAACGAGCUGAGCGGCAAGGUCAUGCAGCUGCAGUACGAGAACCGCGUGCUCAUGUCCAACAUGCAGCGCUACGACCUGGCCUCGCACCUGGGCAUCCGCGGCAGCCCGCGCGACAGCGACGCCGAGAGCGACACGGGCAAGAGGGAGAGCGACGACGACGCGCGGCCGCCGCACCGCAAGCGCGAGGGCCCGAUCGGCGGCGAGAGCGAGCCCGAGGAGGCGCGGCACGCGCGCUGCCUGACCCCCACGCGCGGCCUGCACCCCGCGCCCGCGCCCUGGCCGCGGGGCCUGUGCGAGCGCCAGCACCUCAAAGACAUUCGCUCGGAGGCCGAGCGCCUGGGCAAGACCAUCGACCGGCUCAUCGCCGACACCAGCACCAUCAUCACCGAGGCACGCAUCUACGUGGCCAACGGGGACCUGUUCGGACUCAUGGAUGAGGAGGACGACGGCAGCCGCAUCCGCGAGCACGAGCUGCUCUACCGCAUCAACGCGCAGAUGAAGGCCUUCCGCAAGGAGCUGCAGACCUUCAUCGACCGCCUGGAGGUGCCCAAGUCCAGCGACGACCGGGGCGCCGAGGAGCCCAUAUCCGUGAGUCAGAGUCAGUCAGGCUUCUCUACAGUGAAGAGCCCAGGAGUGGUGGAGGACUGUGCUGUGGUAGCUUUAAGGCAACACUAACCCAGGGACAUGGAAAUAACAAAGAUUCCAUAACAGGGAAAACCAGUAUUUUUCGUCCAUCCUGAUUUGUAGAGGCACCGGAUGAAUGGGACUGAGCUGCUUUGGCCAGAUGUUCCAGCCCAUCAUUUUACUGAUUCUCAUCCUUGUAUUAUUUUCCUCACUUUCCUAUACAACAAUAUUUAAACUUGUCUUCCUUUUUACACUGUUUUUUGUACUGUAAGUCUUUCAUCGUUUACCAUUCAUUGUAGUAUUUUCAGUUUGUUUGUUUUGUUCACCCUUCAAGACAAGAAGUAGAAGACGUAUAAUUUCUAUAAUAACCAACGCUGUAAAAACACUGAAGACUGCUUCUUUCUGUAUAAAGACAAAACACAUCUUACCACUACCAAAUUUAAUAAGAAGCCCAAGCACGAAAA